UCCAGCUGCCAUAUCACCCUGCAGCUCACGGCUCACAGCUGGCAGCCCACUGGAGCCCAGCAGGUGUGAGCCUGGUCAGUACCUGGAUGGGAGACUCCUGGGAAAACUAAGGGUGCUGCUGGAA
rnacentral:rRNA from 1 species